CCUACGGGAGGCAGCAGUGAGGAAUAUUGGUCAAUGGGCGAGAGCCUGAACCAGCCAAGUCGCGUGAGGGAAGACGGUCCUAUGGAUUGUAAACCUCUUUUGUCGGGGAGCAAAAAGGCCUCGUGAGGCCACAAGUGAGAGUACCCGAAGAAAAAGCAUCGGCUAACUCCGUGCCAGCAGCCGCGGUAAUACGGAGGAUGCGAGCGUUAUCCGGAUUUAUUGGGUUUAAAGGGUGCGCAGGCGGCGAGUUAAGUCAGCGGUAAAAUUUCGGGGCUCAACCCCGACAAGCCGUUGAAACUGGCUUG
rnacentral:rRNA from 1 species